rnacentral:misc_RNA from 1 species
GCACCGCCCGAGCCCGCCCCGCACGGGGCGGGGGCUCGGUGUUGGGGACCGCGGGUGGCGGGGCGCCAGCCCCGUCCGCGGCCCUGAAAGGCAGUGGCGGCCCUCCAAGGCAACCCCCAGCGUAGUAGAACUCUCUCGCUCGGGCGCCCUGGCGGGACGGCCUCGAACCCCAGACUUAUACCC